AUUGAACGCUGGCGGCAGGCCUAACACAUGCAAGUCGGACGGUAGCACAGAGGAGCUUGCUCCUCGGGUGACGAGUGGCGGACGGGUGAGUAAUGUCUGGGGAUCUGCCCGAUAGAGGGGGAUAACCACUGGAAACGGUGGCUAAUACCGCAUAACGUCGCAAGACCAAAGAGGGGGACCUUCGGGCCUCUCACUAUCGGAUGAACCCAGAUGGGAUUAGCUAGUAGGCGGGGUAACGGCCCACCUAGGCGACGAUCCCUAGCUGGUCGUGAGAGGAUGACCAGCCACACUGGAACUGAGACACGGUCCAGACUCCUACGGGAGGCAGCAGUGGGGAAUAUUGCACAAUGGGCGCAAGCCUGAUGCAGCCAUGCCGCGUGUAUGAAGAAGGCCUUCGGGUUGUAAAGUACUUUCAGCGGGGAGGAAGGCGAUGUGGUUAAUAACCGCAUUGAUUGACGUUACCCGCAGAAGAAGCACCGGCUAACUCCGUGCCAGCCGCCGCAGUAA
rnacentral:rRNA from 1 species